AACUGUAGGGGCGUCCGCCGCGCUCUCCCACCUCUGGGUAAGGCGAAGAAUGCAACGCAGUUUCCCACCGCGAUGUGGAGCCAAACAUCAGGGCCCGUGCCUCGGGGAGCACAAACCCAAGUGACCCGGAAUGAGAUGACAUGGACUUCAUGAAAGAAGUUACAUGAGUUAUCACAAAACAAAGCAGGUGGAGUCUUCGGUGGGCGGAUUUUGUUGUCUUUAACAAGUUCUUUUUUAGAUAGGGUCUCGAGUUUUUGUGCAAGUCCAGCCUUUGACCUCGAUCCUUCUCCCUGUGUCUCCCAGCAACUGGAACCACAGAACACAAAUUUCUACGACGGCAGAACUGAAUUUGACGAUCACAAUCGGGACCUUCGUGCAAAUCCCAAUGCUAGGGGUAGAGCAGAGCACAAAAAAUAUUUGGAAUGGAACGAACUCCGAUUUCAUCUUUGCCCUAAAGUAAGGUUGUAACUAAAAAAAUAAUUUUUUUUCGGAUCUUAAGUCCUUCAAAUAACACUUGGGCAGGUGGGAAGAUCCCUAUUUUUGUUUGGUUAACCUUUUAGCACCAGGGAUGAAACUCCGACUUCCUCUUAAAGUGACAACAUAGCUCUUUUUUCAAACGAAGGACAUAAGUCAAGGCCAAAGGCAAAAAAAAAAAAGCGCAGAGAUGUUCGCCACAGACACACCGCUGGCUUUUAAUACGGGACCAAAUUCAAAGAGAUGGGAAAGCCGUAUAAAUCCCCAUGAGACCUUCCUUCCUCCCCAGGUCCCUAGCUACUGACCCAGAGCCUGCCUCCAUAGUUCCCCGGGGGCCGGGCGGGCGUCCAGGUGGAGCCCGCGGAGACCGACCAGCUGCACAAGAACUCAGGCCUUCAGGGCCUGCACCCCCAUAAAUGCAGAACCCUUGCAUCUGCUGACAUUUUAGCUCCCAGAAAGAGGUGGGACUUGAGCUGAGCAAGCAAACAUGAAGAGAUUACAUC
rnacentral:lncRNA from 1 species